rnacentral:rRNA from 1 species
GAUGACGGCCUUCGGGUUGUAAACCUCUUUCACCAUCGACGAAGGUCCGGGUUCUCUCGGAUUGACGGUAGGUGGAGAAGAAGCACCGGCCAACUACGUGCCAGCAGCCGCGGUAAUACGUAGGGUGCGAGCGUUGUCCGGAAUUACUGGGCGUAAAGAGCUCGUAGGUGGUUUGUCGCGUUGUUCGUGAAAUCUCACGGCUUAACUGUGAGCGUGCGGGCGAUACGGGCAGACUAGA